rnacentral:pre_miRNA from 1 species
GGAAGAAAGGUCCUACAUGAGGAUAAAGAGCCUUGUUUUGUAGCCAAGGAUGACUUGCCUGCAGCCUCCCAAGGGCUCUCUCUCUCUCUCUAAAUAUAAUGUGGCGCUAUAGCUAAGCUUGGUUUAGAAUCCUUGUGUGAUCUACAGGCAGUCUCCUUGGCUACCGAGACAGGUUCUUUUAUCUCAUGCUGGACCUCUUCUUCC